rnacentral:rRNA from 1 species
CACGUAGGGGGCGAGCGUUGUCCGGAAUCAUUGGGCGUAAAGGGCGCGUAGGCGGCCUGAUAAGUCGGGGGUGAAAUCCUGUGGCUCAACCACAGGGCUGCCUCCGAGACUGUCGGGCUCGAGCACAGUAGAGGCAGGUGGAAUUCCCGGUGUAGCGGUGGAAUGCGUAGAGAUCGGGAAGAACAUCGGUGGCGAAGGCGGCCUGCUGGGCUGUUGCUGACGCUGAGGCGCGACAGCGUGGGGAGCAAACAGG